rnacentral:rRNA from 1 species
AGGAAACUCACUUAGAGUAAUGUCUAAGUAUCAUUAAGUGAAUACAUAGCUUAAUGAGGGGAACUCAGGGAACUGAAACAUCUAAGUACCUGAAGGAAGAGAAAGAAAUUCGAUUCCGUAAGUAGCGGCGAGCGAACGCGGAUUAGCCCAAACCAAUAAAGUUUUCUUUAUUGGGGUUGCGGACAUAUCAUAACGAAGAGAUAUCGUAAUUGAAGAGGUUUGGAAAGACCCACCACAGAAGGUAAUAGUCCUGUAUGUUAAACGAGAAGACUUUAGAUAUGAUCCAGAGUACCACGGGACACGUGAAACCCUGUGGGAAGCAGGAGGGACCACCCUCCAAGGCUAAAUACUACCUAGUGACCGAUAGCGUAUAGUACCGUGAGGGAAAGGUGAAAAGAACCCCGGGAGGGGAGUGAAAUAGAACCUGAAACCCUGCACUUACAAGCUGUGGAAGCACAUUUCUUGUGUGACCGCGUACUUUUUGUAGAACGGGCCAACGAGUUACGUUAAGUAGCAAGGUUAAGCACUUAAGGUGUGGAGCCGUAGCGAAAGCGAGUUUUAACUGAGCGUUCAGUUACUUGACGUAGACCCGAAACCGGGCGACCUACCCAUGAGCAGGAUGAAGCGAAAGUAAAAUUUCGUGGAGGUCCGAACCCACGAGCGUUGAAAAGCUCGGGGAUGACUUGUGGGUAGCGGUGAAAUUCCAAUCGAGCCCGGAGAUAGCUGGUUCUCCCCGAAAUAGCUUUAGGGCUAGCCUCAAGGUGAGAGAUACGGAGGUAGAGCACUGAAUGUCCUAGGGGGUAUUGCACCUACCGAAGACUAUCAAACUCCGAAUGCCGUCAUCUUAUACUUGGGAGUCAGACUGUGGGUGAUAAGAUUCAUAGUCGAAAGGGCAACAGCCCAGAUCGUCAGCUAAGGUCCCUAAAUGUAAGUUAAGUGGUAAAGGAUGUGGGAUUGCACAGACAACCAGGAUGUUGGCUUAGAAGCAGCCACUCAUUCAAAGAGUGCGUAAUAGCUCACUGGUCGAGUGAUCCUGCGCCGAAGAUUUCCGGGGCUAAAACUUACUACCGAAGCUACGGCAUCAGUAAUGAUGGGUAGGGGAGCUUCCCAUACGGGUUGAAGCAUGACCGUAAGGACAUGUGGACAGUAUGGGAGUGAGAAUGUUGGCAUGAGUAGCGAGAUGUGGGUGAGAAUCCCACAGGCCGUAAACCCAAGGUUUCCAGGGGAAGGUUCGUCCGCCCUGGGUUAGUCGGGACCUAAGCUGAGGCCGAAAGGCGUAGGUGAUGGACAACAGGUUGAUAUUCCUGUACUACCGAUAACCAUUUGAGAGA